ensembl:lncRNA
UUUAGAGUGUCGUAGUCUGUUGAUCUGUUCCUCAUGUUCAGAGCUGAGUACAUGUCACUGUUAGGAUCAGGAUGGACACUCUGUGGGGUAGAGAGCUGAGUACAUGUCACUGUUAGGAUCAGGAUGGACACUCUGUGGGGGACAGAGCUGAGUACAUGUCACUGUUAGGAUCAGGAUGGACUCUCUGUGGGGGAGAGAGCUGAGUACAUGUCACUGUUAGGAUCAGGAUGGACACUCUGUGUGGGAGAGAGCUGAGUACAUGUCACUGUUAGGAUCAGGAUGGACACUCUGUGGGGGGAAAUGUCAGGAUAACAAUAGAGCCAGACUGUGUAGAGAACACUGUUGUCAUCAGUGUAACUGAUAUAAUCACCUGUGGGUCUGUUGUAGCGUCACUUCCUCCUGUAGAUCUCCUGUAAAGAGGAUAAAGUAUGUUACGCUGUCUACUGACAUCUAGUGGUUAUUAGUUGUAUUUACAGUCCCUGAUAUACUUGACAUUAAUCUGUCUAGGAAAUGCUGACCUCCUCAGGGUACAGUAGAUGGUGACUAGAAGAACUGCAACAGUGAGGACGGCCCCCACUGUAACCACGGGAACCCAGGGAGACAGGAGAGCAUGUCCUAUUCCAAUUUAGGGAUAUAACAUAGUGGAAACCAGGGAAGAUAUAAAGGUGUUGAGACAGAUGUCUGGGAAUGAUCUUUGAUUCUUUGUAUUUUCAGAAUGACCACAGCUGUUCUCAAAAAUUACCAUUUUCCAGUGGUCUAUUAAAUACUCUUGCAGCUUCAUUGAUGUAUUGUAUAAAUAUUAUUUUAUGCAAAUAUUCAUUUUAGUACUAGUUUUAGUAGUUGUACUGUAUACAGUAAAGUAUUUUAUAUCCUCACAGUCACUUCAAGCAUAGAUUUCAGCAUGUUUGUGCAAUAUUACCUGAGACAGUCAGAGUAGUUCCUGAGAAGCUGUACCCCCACUCUGCAAACCUAUUGUUACUCAAGGUGAAUUUACACCUGAACUUGUACUCAGCUGAGUCAGUCUCUCUCAGGUCUGUGAUUCUCAGGGUACAGUCACUCACAUUAUCUCCAAGGUACUUCACACGACCUGAAUACUCUGGCAAUGAUUUCAGGUUUGUUGGCGCCUUAUUACGUUCUCCUUGUAUAUACCAGUUCAUUUCUAUGACUGUAUGGUUAUUCGGAUGUUGGUAUGUGCAGGGAAGAUCCACUGUUGAGCCGAUCAAGGCAGAGAUUGUCUGAUGGGUGUAAGUCACAUUGAAACAGGACUUACCCAGAAUACCUGAAAUAUACAGAAUCCUGUCAAUGUAUUUAGAUUAUUUGACAAUUGUUUU